rnacentral:misc_RNA from 1 species
CAUAAUGUGGAAUCUUUUAAACUUUCUAGGGUAGUCUGCAUCUUUUGUUGAUAAAAAGUGUUGAAACCAACGGAAUAAACAAACCGAGCGCUAAAAAUGGAGAGGGGCAUUUUUAUUUUAAACUUUAACCCGACCAAAAUAUUAUCGCCGCGCUUAUAAAUUUUAGUCGCGAACAGAUGUGCAUAGACGUAUGUUGUACUGAAACGUGAACUGCGCAACGCGUGUGCUAGUCUAGUCGAUACUUUUAAAUACUUCGUUACGUUUGUUUACCUCUCGAUUUCUGUACGGUUUUUGACGUUUUUUGUUAGAUGACUUAGUGCUAGUGAUAUAUUAAAAUGGAAUUGCAUUCUAGGAACACAUCCCUGAGGCAUUUGCCGAAAAGACCUCCUGUCGAUAUCGAAUUUCACGAUGUCAGUUACACUGUGCCCCAAGGAAGAAAAGGAUCCAAAUUAAUUUUAAGAAGCGUUAAUGGAAGUUUCCAGGCUGGACAAUUGACAGCAAUUAUGGGUCCUUCUGGAGCUGGAAAGAGCACAUUGUUAAAUAUACUAGCAGGAUAUAAAACACAGGGAGCGACAGGGCAAAUCUUGAUAAAUGGAGCGACUAGAAAUUUAAAACAAUUUAGGAAAAUGUCUAGGUAUAUUAUGCAAGAGGAUAUGAUCCAACCAUUGUUGACUGUGGAAGAAGCGAUGAUGAUAGCAGCAAAUUUAAAGUUAGGAAACACGUUGAGUCUAAGCGAUAAAUCUUCAGCGAUAGAUGAAAUUUUAAGUUUACUACGAUUAGACAAAGCAAAAAGGACUGGUACAAGUAGGUUAUCCGGUGGAGAACGAAAAAGGUUAUCGAUAGCUUUGGAAUUAUUAAACAAUCCUCCUGUUCUAUUUCUGGACGAGCCAACUACGGGUUUAGAUGAUCUGUCAUGUUCCCAGUGUAUUUCAUUACUGAAAAAGAUCGCCGAAGGUGGUCGAACUGUGAUUUGCUCUAUACAUACACCAAGUGCCAAAAUAUUUUCACAAUUUGACAACGUCUACAUUUUAUCUGACGGACAAUGCGUGUAUCAAGGUUACGGACCCGAAGUAGUAUCCUAUUUAAGUAAAGUAGGAAUUGAAUGUCCUAAAACCUAUAACCCAGCAGAUUUUAUUAUAGAAGUUUGCUGUAACGAAUAUGGUAAUUUCCAAGAACGGAUGGUAUCUGUGAUAGACAAUGGUCGUAAUAUUUAUAGAACUAACGGUAACUUACCACAACUACAAGAAGUCGAACUUGCCAACGAUAGUCUAGAAAAUCGAAGCAGUAUUUCAUCAAUAUCAAUAAGAGAAGAAGUUUACGCGGAUUUAAGUUCUUCAGAUUUUAAUCACGAGUCUUCAUGGUUUAGCCAAUUCUGGAUCUUAACCACCCGGUUAUGGAUGCAGAUGUGGAGGGAUAAAACUUACUUAAUAAUGAGGACUGUCCUAUAUAUAAUCCUUGCUCUUCUAAUAGGAUCACUAUAUUAUAAAAUGGGUCAGGAUGGGUCCAAAACCAUCUUUAAUUUCGGUUUUUAUUACUGCUGCAUUAUAUUUUUCAUGUAUAUUCCAAUGAUGCCAAUUCUACUGCAAUUUCCUCAAGAAAUUCAGUUAGUGAAGAGAGAACAUUUUAACAAAUGGUACCGACUUAGUGCAUAUUUCUCAGCAUUGUCUUUUUCGACCGUGCCUGUACAACUUUGUCUUGGAGUUGUGUAUGUAUCGUGUGUUUACCUUUUAACUGACCAACCGUUAGAGUUUCGGAGGAUGUCAAUGUUCUUUUUCAUUUGCAUUUUGACCAGUGUAAUUUCCGAAAGUCUUGGACUUCUGAUUUCUGCUCAACUGAAAGUUGUGAAUGCUGUGUUUAUGGGACCAGUAUCUGCUGUUCCUUUCAUGCUACUAGCUGUCUACGGAUUCGGAUCUGGUUACGACACUAUUCCAUCUAUAAUAAAAUUCUUCAUGCACUUUAGCUACCUCAGGUACUCGCUCGAAGGGUUGAUUCACGCCAUGUUAAAAGAUAGAGAAAAGCUAAGCUGUCCGGAUACUGAAGAAUACUGUAUAUACACAGACCUCAACUUAUUCGUUAGGGACAUGGGCAUGGAAAACACUAUUUAUUGGGUUGACGUUUUAGUGCUAAUUUUUAUUUUAAUCCUCUUCAGGGGUGGUAGUUAUUAUCUAUUACGACAAAGAUUAACUCCUAACAAAACCUUUAGAGCUCUACAAUAUAUUGGAAGAUUGGUUAAAUCACAGUUUGGACUAGCGCGAUGAUAAGCGAAAGUUGGUUUAUGUCUUUAGUUAAUCUUAUUAUAUUUUAAGUGAUAUUAUUAUAUAGGAUAUUAGGAACUUGGGUAACUGUCUAUUAAUUUAAGUGAUAUUUUUAAAGGAUCAUUGUUAUAACUUUGUAAAAUAUUGUAGUCAGAAUUAUUUUUAUAUACACUCAUCGGCACAAAAUUCCGCCACUAAAAAUUUUUGAUUAAGUUUGACAACUUAUAACUUUAUUAUUUGUACUCCGAUUUUCAAGAUUCUUACAUCAGUUUGUAGGUACGUGUAUUAGUACCGUUUGCUAUUACUCCGGUAACAAAAUUUUUUGCUUAGAUGGAAUUAUACGGGGUUGAGUGGAAGCAUUGCAUUUUCACCUAACUUUAAAAAAUUCUAUGGAAAAAUUGAAGAGCUGAUUUUGUUUCAUAGUCCUUUCAGUAGCUAGCUCCACAGGUGCCCCAUAUCAAAGUAUGUCGCGGGCCUUUUUCCACCACUGAUAUGGCAUAGUGCUAAAAAAAAUUUCAACAAAAGAAGCAAAAACGCUUCUAUAUAAUAGAAUAGAAAUAUGCUUUAUUAUCACUAAAAAUUUUACAAUUUUAUGGACAAAGCUUACAAAGAUUAGGAAAAAAACAAUAACAAAUACAGUUUACUGAAAUUACAAAAAUCAUCAAUAUUACUACAAAAUAAAAGAUAAUGAAAUAAAACAAAACAAUAUAGGGUGUUUCAUUAUUAAUUGGAAAUAUUUUAACUGUAGAUUCCUGGAGUUCUUUGAAGAUGGAGACUUUUAAUCAGAUUUUUUUAAAUACAUACCUCUAGAAUACUUCUAUUUAGAAAAACGAAAACUGGUACGUCUCUUUGUCUUCCAGAUAUCGAUUUCAUAAAUUGUGAAUUUCUAGUACCGGUCAUAUGCGUCCUCUUUGGGUAGGGCAACGGUUAUUUUAUCGCAUAACUUUUUUGUCUUUGACUUUUAAGCAUUUUUGACACUGAAUUGUUAAAUCGUGAGGUAUUCUAGUACCAAAAGUUACUCUUACUUUAAGUCGGUAGGAUACACCGUCUUCUAGAAAAAUCAAUUUGAAAAUGUUUCAUUUUUUGAAUUUGAACAAAAUUCGAAAAAUUUUUCAAAAAAAUGUAUUUUACCUACCUAAAGCAAGAGUAACUUUUAGUACUAGAAUACCUUAUAAUUUGCCAAAAAUAAUUCAAAAUUAAACACACAAAAACUAAUGCGAUAAAAUCUGUACCAUCUGUGAAUAAGUCGAUAACUCAAAAAUGCAAGCUUUUCGGUAUGGCCACUUUAAACAUUUUAUUAGUUUUGAAGAAUAAAAAAUUUAAGAUUUGACUUAUCCACUUAUUCACGGAUGGUACAGAAAUAUCCGUUGACCUACCCAAAGCGGAUACAUAUGAUCGGUACUAGAAAUUCGCGAUUGAUGAAAUCGAUUCAUCUCUGGAAUAAACGUACUAGUUUUCGUUUUUUGUUUUUGCGUUAAAUCUUAAUAUUUUGAGCCUAGGAAUCUACAGCUAAAUUAUUUCCAAUUAUUAAUGAAACACCCUGUAUAUUGCAAAAUUUAAAUAAAUUGCAAAUUGCAUAAUACAACCUUAGGAACUAAUAAGUUCUGCGUAUAAAACCCAAAUAUAGAUAAUAAUAAUAAACCUAAUUAACUGUAAUAUACCAAAGUCGAAAUAUAGAUUUUAAUUGUUGAGACUCGUUGUUUUAAAACAGAUUCAGUUUUUGCAAGCCAAGGGUAAAUGGAUAUAGAAAAUGAACGUAAACAAAGAAGCUCUUUACUUUAACCUUUAACUACACGCGCUGGCGUAUUUUGUACGCCAGAUAUAAGAAUUCUACUGCAAAUAUAUUUAAAAAUUUAAUUUUUGACCUUGUUUAUGUCUCUAACCUAUCACUGGAAUGUGCUUUACAAUUUGGUUUUAGUUUCGUUAUAAUCGGCGUUCUGGAAAGAUCGUAAUUUACAGUUUAUUAUUUGUUGUUUCCGGUGGUGCACAAUAUGCGCCACGAUUAUAUUAAUAUAAGUAGUAAUAUAAGUACAUAUUUCAAUUGUUUUUUAGUCAUUAUGGCACAAAAUAUAUUUUCCUUUAUAAACAAUCCUUUUCUCCCGUAAAAAAUCACAUUUCAAAAAAUUUUUUAUUAACAAUUUUAUUUAUCAUGGACUCCAGUUAUUCCGUAAUUCCAGUUAUAAAUCCCAAUUGGCUUACUGAGAAGGAACUCCAAGUAUUCACUGAUGCCAAAUAAGGUUUAUAACAAACAACUAAGUGUAUUUUUUCAAAAAAAAAAUAAACAAAUCCGCUGUUAUUGUGUAUUUUCUUGUGGCGUAUAAAGUACGCCACGCGUGUAGUUAUGUCAUAACUUGAUGCGCGGGUAGUUAAAGGUUAACGGCGAGCGACCGGCAAAUACAUAGAUAUACUUAAAUACAAUUUAUAAAUAAAGAACAGAUUACACGAAAAUAUACGCAAACAAUACACAGUGUUUCAAUGUUUCAAAUAUUCAAAGGUAAAGCGAUUACAAAUAUUGCAAUUUGGCAUUAUAUGUCUCACAUACAACCAACGGUGAAUAGACAAUAAAAAGUAGCUUGAUAACAAAAAAGCUCUGUAGUUAUAGAAAUGCGGGAGGCAGAAAAUAGAUAGGUACCUGUACAUCAAUUUAGUUUAUAUGUAUAUAGAUAGAGUAUUCAUUUCACGAAAAUGUCGAUAUCCUAACAAUAUACACUGUUCAAAGCGUUUUAAUAGUGAAAUAAUUGUAGAAUAUUUUUUUUCAAUUUUUUGAAUGGAAUUUUGGGUCGACAUGCCGCGCUGGGGCCCUGAAUGUCGGGCGUCCCGUAUAAUUGAUACGGAGGUAGCUAUGCCUCUGAGUCCUUCCAUAUUAUCCCGGAGGCCUGACUAAAAUUUUCUUUUUGGAAUUAUCCUAAUAUCUCUUUUCUUGUAAGAGCUGCGCAAUUCUUUGUCAAUAAAACCACUGAUUGACUCAUAAACAUAAAUAUCUUAUAUAGAAGUUAGAUUGGUAAGAUUGAAAGGGCCGGCAUGUAACCCAGAUCUCAAUCCUAUCGAGCAUUUAUGGUGUGAAUUGAAAAUAGCUAUUCCCCAUCAUUCUAGGCCUCCAGCAAGUUUGAUACAGUUAUGGCCCUGGUGGAGGAAUGUCGGGCUAUUCCUCAGGCAAGGAUAACACAUCUUAUUUAUUCGAUGUCAACCAGAUUGCGAGCAGUCGUUUCUGCGGGAGGUGGACAUACCCGCUAUUAAAUUGUUUUUGUUGUUAAUUUUGUUUUGUUUUGUUAAUUUUAGUGCGUUUGAUAAUUUUAAUUAAGUAAACCUUCAAAUCAGUGUUUUUAUUUACAGCUUUCACAAGAAAAGAGAUAUUCGGAUAAUUAAAAAAACCAAGAGAUGCCUCCGAGAUAAUACGAAAGCAGUAUGAAACAAAAUCAGGUCUUCAAUUUCCCCCCUUAAAGUUAGUAGAAAAUACAACGCCUCCAUUCACCCCCGUAUAAGACCAUUUAAGCAAAAAUUUUGAUUAUCGGAAUAAUAACAAACAAUAUCAAUACAUGUACCUACAAACUAAUGUAAGAAUCUUGAAAAUCGGAGAACAUAUUACAAAGUUAUAAAUUGUCAAACUUAAUCAAAAAUUUUUAGGGACGGAAUUUUGUACCGGUGAGUGUAGAUUAGUUUUAGGUAGCAAAUAACUAUAAAAUUAUAUACGAUUACAUAAAAAAUACUUUGUCGGUUUUGCCUGUGACAAUGAUAACAUUGACACUUAAUUUAUAUAAAAGUAGUAGUAUUUCGUUGUGUAGUGUAAAGUCCUAGUGUAAUUAAAUUAUUUAUUUUUAACUUCAACGUCUCGCCCAGUAAGUUAGCAAUUUUAUAAUUUAUUAUUCGAAGUAGGUAAAACAUUUAAAAUAUGAACAGACAAAAAUUUUUUGACUGGUAUCUAGCAGAAACUGUUAAGAUAAUCAGCAACUAUUAUUACAACUAGCUCCCCUUCCCCUGAAAGAAAGAGUAGGUUAAUUAAGACUCCACUAUAAUUGAGCCAAAAGGGCAGAAUUUUUGCCACUACAAUUUAAAAUUUCCCUUAUUUUAAUGUUGUUCUGCAGCUAUUUUCUUGUGGCAUUUUUAUAAUCAAGUAUAUUCAAAUGGGAAAUAAGCCACAAUUUUACCUAAAAAUGAUUUUAUUAACGUUUCGACGCCCAAGUCGGGUGUCGUUGUCAAAAUACAAAAUAAUACUAAAUAAACAAAAAUGUUGUUGUUUAGUAAAAAAUUCUUCUAAUAAUUUAUUUAAUCUGACUCAUUUAUAUCGGCAAUUCAGACACGUAUUAUACAUUUUAAAGUAGACGACUUUAAAAUGAUAUUGCCAAUAUUGAUGAGUUGCGUUCCUGGGACGACUUUAUUAAAAGAUAGUUCAUUCGAUUACAUGAAAUCAAUCCUAACUCAAGAAUAUCCGCCACAAAAAAUCAUAGCAUGUGAUCUGUCUUUAAAAAGACAACCAAAUGCAACGGUGGCACUGAAAUUCUCGCGUUAGAGAUUCCAUAGUAAAUCACGAGGGAAAACCAGGAAAAACCUCGUGAUACUAUCCCGACAUCGUAAGUAUUUGUGUUUACAUUUAGUUUACUCUCAAAACUAAUACCAAAUUCUGACUUGAUAUUUUAAAUUUUAAAUAAUACUAAAAUACUAAAUAUGUACUAACUCGAUAUGUUACUGAUUUACUAAUUGUGGUAUUUUCUUUCUAUUGACUUCCUCCUUUAAUAUGGGUAACCACAUCCUACUGCAUUCUACCGAGGAAUUUGCGACACAAUUGGUUUCAUUUAGCAUAAUUAGAGCCGCUUCUUUGAUUUUUCUCUUUUUACUAUUGAUAUAAUUGUAUAAUAUAUAAUAUAUAUAAUAUAGUGUCUGAAUUGCCGAUAUAAAUGAGUAAGAUUAAAUAAAUUAUUAGAAGAAUUUUUUACUAAGCAACAACAUUUUUGUUUAUUUAGUAUUAUUUUGUAUUUUGACAACGACACCCGACUUGGGCGUCGAAACGUUAAUAAAAUCAUUUUUAGGUAAAAUUGUGGCUUAUUUCCCAUUUGAAUAUAUUCCCUUAUUUUAUUUGAAAACCUUCAAUUCGGUUAAUAUGUCGUAUUUUAAUACAUCACAUACAAAUAGGCAAUAUAACAUCUUAGACCUCUGGCCCUGUCCCCAAUACCCAAUCGUCAUUUUUCUCGGUCCGUCCAUAGGUUUUUCUCUAUUUUUAUAUCUCUCAUUUCCCGAUUUAUGCCUUCUCUCUAGCUAAGGCGAGGUCAUCCCCUUUUUCCUUCUAUCAUGAGGCUGCCAUGUUAGUAUUUGUUUUACAAGUCGAUCUUCGGGCAUUCUUUGGACAUGUUCAUACCAUCUUAGUUGGUAGUACCAUUAUCUUCUACUAUUUUAUGAUUUACUUGCAUGAUAUCUCUUAUUUUACUGUUAGUAACUCUCUCUUUUAAAGUUUUCCGUUGUAUCGUUCCUUUAUCUGCCAUACUUCACUGAUGUAGGUGAUUAUACUUUUAAUAAUUAUGUUAUACAGGGUGAGUCAUGAGGAACUGUACAUACUCCUACCUCGUAUAGAGGCCCCUAUGGGGAAUAACAAAUGCCCAUUAAAAAGUGUCUGCUCCCAUUGUUUAAUAAUAUACAGGGCGAGUUUCGCAUUUUGACAGAAAUUUUUAUUCGUCAUAAUUUUUGAACGGUCAGAUCGAUGUGUCUCUUAUUUUGGUCAAUCGUUACACUAUUGCCACCUAAUCAACUGAUUUAUUCAAACUAGAAAAAAAUCAGGUCCGGCUUUAAAAAAAUUAGUUCGUUUUGGUCUUAGAAAAAAUUUCACCCUGUAUAAGCUUUUUGAAAACUGUAAUAUGAAUUUUACAAAUUAGACAAAUAGGCAAUUAAAAUAACAUAUUUAUUUUUUUCCGCACACGAUUGCUUAAUUUUUUAUAAAAAAAUCAAAUUUGAUUAUGAAUUAAAAGUUUGGUAAAGUGAACCAUAGAUUUAACAAAAUUAACUUUUAUUACCAAAAUUAUUUUUUUUUGAACAAAUAUUUAAUUUAUGUUACCACCAAUCAACUGAUUUAUUCAAACAAGAAAAAAUCAGGCCCGGAUUUUCAAAAAUAAGUUCGUUUUGGUCUUAGAAAAAAUUUCACCCUGUAUACGCUUUUUGAAAACUCCAAUAUGAUUUUUACAAAUUAGACAAAUAGGCAAUUAAAAUGGCAUAUUCAUUUUUUUCCCUACACGAUUACUUAAUUUUUUAUAAAAAAAAUCAAAUUUGACUAUGAAUAAUUAAAAGUUUGGUAAAGUCAACCAUAGAUUAAAAUAAAAAUAACUUUUAUUACAAAAAUGAAUUUUUUUUGAACAAAUAUUUAAUUUAUGUUAUCACCCAAUCAACUGAUUUAUUCAAACUAGAAAAAAAUCAGGCCCGGAUUUAAAAAAUUAGUUUGUUCGGGUCUUAGGAAAAAUUUCACCUUGUAUACGUUUUUUGAAAACUUUAAUAUGAAUUUUACAAAGAAGACAAAUAGGCAAUUAAAAUGGCACAUUUAUUUUUUCCCCACACGAUUACUUAUUUUUUUAUUAAAAAAUCAAAUUUGACUAUGCAUAAAAAGUUUGGCAAAGUUUUUGCAUAGAUUUAAAAAAAAUAACUUUCUUUACAAAAAUUAAUUUAUAAAAACAACGUUUUUCUUAAAAUUAAAAGUUUUACCAUUUUUUUUUCUAUAACACGUCUACAUCUAAAACUUCCCAUAACACUUCUUUUGGACUCGAUAGUUUAACAUAGACGUGAUCAAAUUGAUAAAUUUUAAAAUUUCCACCUAAUUUUUGCGAUUUACAAGUUUGCAACUUUUACAAGAAGAAGACUGAAAGUCUACAACAAUUUUCAUAGUCUUCACAAUGGUAAGAGGUAUGUGCUGUAAAAAUUUCAGAAAAAAAAUAUUAAAAUGGAACAGAGUUGUAGCGAGUUAAACCGUGAGUUCAUUUUUUUUUCAUUUUUAGGUUAAAAUUCCGAUUUUGACAAAUUUGAUUUUUUAAUAAAAAAUUAAGUAAUCGUGUGGGGAAAAAAAUAAAUAUGCCAUUUUAAUUGCCUAUUUGUCUUAUUUGUAAAAUUCAUAUUAGAGUUUUCAAAAAGCGUAUACAGGGUAACAUUUUUUCUAAGACCAAAACGAACUAAUUUUUUAAAUCCGGACCUGAUUUUUCUCUAGUUUGAAUAAAUCCGUUGAUUGGAUGGUAACAUAAAUUACUUAUUUGUGCAAAAAAAUUAAUUUUUGUAAUAAAAGUUAUUUUUUCUUAAAUACAUGGUACCAAACUUUUAAUUCAUAGUGAAAUUUAAUUUUUUUUAUAAAAAAUUAAGUAAUCGUGUGCGGAAAAAAAUAAAUAUGCCAUUUUAAUUGCCUAUUUGUCUAAUUUGUAAAAUUCAUAUUAGAGUUUUUAAAAAGCGUAUACAGGGUGAAAUUUUUUCUAAGACCCAAACGAACUAAUUUUUUUAAAGCCGGACCUGAUUUUUUCUAGUUUGAAUAAAUUAGUUGAUUAGGUGGUAAUAGUGUAACGAUUGGCCAAAAUAAGAGACACAUCGAUCUGACCGUUCAAAAAUUAUGACAAAUACAAAUUUCUGUCAAAAUGCGAAACUCGCCCUGUAUAUUAUUAAACAAUGGGAGCAGACACUUUUUAAUGGUCAUUUCUUAUUCCCCAUAGGAGCCUCUAUACGAGGUAGGAGUAUGUACAGUUCCUCAUGACUCACCCUGUAUAUCCUACGUUUGUUACUAUUUGUUAUUGAUUAGCCUCAAAGUGUAUUAUUUAGAAGGAAUAUUGCUUUUCUUCCCAGGUUGUUUCUUUCUUCAACCGUGUCGUCUAAAUUCGCUUCUUUUGUGAAGAUCAGAUCCAGCUAUUGAUAUAUGUCGCAUGUCUGAUAAUUUCUCCAUCGUCCAAUGCGAAGUCCUGCUGUAUCCCACAGACACAGAUAUAUUCUGUCUUUCUUAUGUUUAUUUCAAGCUCCCUUUUUUAUAUAUGCCAAGCCCCAAUGUGUAUAUAGUAUAGUGGCAUGCAUAUGCGUUUCCAAAGAUUUUGAAUUUGUUCGAGCUAAAUCUUAAAUAAUGUCGGUGAGAGACAACAGCCUCGUUUAAGACACUUCCUGGAUUGAAAUCCCUGGACUAGGCAGUUUCCAAUUUUUACCCUUACUUUAGAUUAGCAUAAAUUUGUUUCGUUGCUCGUACUCAUUCCCAUAGUGUAAUUUGUGGGAUACGUCAAAUGCCUUUCUCAAGUCUACAUACAAUAAAAUAAUGUAGGUACUUCCCGGUUAACGGCAACAUUCUUUUCAGUUAUCCGUGUAAGGCAGAAUAAAUGGUCAAUGGUUGAUCUACCUGCCCUGAAUCCUGCUUAUUAUUCGGUUUCUAUAUAUUUUUAUUCAUUUUCUAUUCCAUGAACUAAAUACGGUCGAUAUAAGGUUUUACUUGAUAUCAUACGUUAUACCAAGUUUGAUUAAAGUGGGCUGAAUAGUUUCACAGACUUGAAUUUUUUGUACACAUAUACAGGGUGAUUGAUUAGUGUGAGGAAGCUCAGUAGAUCUGUUAUAGUAAAAAUUGCAAAAAAAAGUUAUUAACAAAAAUUGUAGGCAGCUUUAAACUCCACAUUUUAAAAUUAGUUACAAUCUUACAGGGUGUUCCAUAAGAUAGUGGCAGAUCAAAAUUAUGUUUUUUUAAAUGGAACACCCUGUAUUUUAUUUUAAAUUUGAAAUCUGCUUUACUUCCACAUCACAACAAUGUAAAGUUUUAUUAUGUUAUACCGGGUAUUUAAAAAGUUAUAACCAAUAUUACCUGAAAAUCGUAUCAAGUUUAACUCCCUGUAUAAUUAAAAAGGAGUGUAGGAACAUUAAUCUAUUGCAACCAUAGUUUUUUAAUAAUUAUUAAAAAUUAUAAAACAUAUUCGUUUUUAUAAUAUUCGGUAAAUCAAAUACAGGGUAAGAAGUCAAAAUGCAAGUACAUUAUUUUCUUGGUAAUUUUAAAUAGAACACCCUGUAUUUUAUAUCACUAUCGAAAAGUACUAAUAUCGUACUUCAAAUUUUAUGAAGUACUCCCUAUACCUAAAGUUAUCAGUUUUCUAGAUAUUUUUAUUUUUCCAUCAAAGUAUUAAUUUGGUAGAUAUUUUAACGUUUACCAAUAAUUAUUGUGAGUUGGCCAGGCCAUGAUUGAUUUGUCAGAAACUGACAGUUUGGCAUUAAUUAGUAAUUUUAACUUAUCUUACUUAAGUAAGGUGUUCAAAAUGGCCUCCCAAAACAUCUAUGCAUACUUGAAAGCGGUCAUUGAAAGAGUUGCUUACAUUAGUAAGCAUUUGUAAAGAAAUAUUUUGAAAUGCAAUUCGGAUUCUAUUUUUCAUAUCAUCCCUUGUUGUUGGAGGUAUUUUAUAUACUUCGUUCUUAACGUAACCCCAAAAAAAUGAUUUUAUUGAAAUCUGGUGACCUUGAGGGCCACCUUACCGGUCCAUCCCUUCCGAUCCAUCUUUCACCAAACUGAUCAUUAAGUUCACCACGUACUAAUUCGUUGUGGUGCGCAGGAGCACCGUCAUGUAGAAACCACAUUUGUUCACGUAUAUUAAGUGGAACCAACUUCUAAUAAUAUCGGUAACUGAUUUACGAUAAAAUCUAAAUAAAUCUCACCAUUUAAGUUAUCUUCAAAAAAAUAUGGUCCUAUUACAUGGUUACCGACGAUACCUCCCCACACAUUUAGAGACCAUCUUGUUUGACUAUGUGUUACUAUGUGGUAUGGAUUACUCGUUGAAUAGUAGUGAAAGUUAUGACUAUUAACAGAACCGUUUCGAUGGAAUGUAGCUUCAUCAACCAAUAGGACAUAAUCAAAAAAAUCUCUCUGCUCAUUAAUUUUUUCUAAGGCCCAUUCACAAAAUACUAGUCGUUUCUGAAAAUCAUCAUUAUUUAAUUCUUGGUGCUUUUGAAUAUAAGGGUGCAUCUUGUUUUUAGAUAGAAUGUUUUGAACAGAGUAGUAACUAAGUUCUUGUUCACUGGAAAUACUCCUUAUACUUGUGUGUGGGUUUUCUGUAACUUCCAUCAACACUCAUUUCGUUUUCCUCUGUCACACUAGUGUUUGUUCGUUUAUGUUUUUCAAAAUUCACUGAACCAGUGCGGUUAAAUCGAUCUUUCAAUUUUUCAAAUGUAUCUUGUCUAGGUUGCCGCCUAUCUGGAAACGGUUCUUGAUAAAUGCUAGCUGAUGCUAGUAAUGAAUUUUUAUUGCAUUCCCCCAAAAUCCAGAUCAUAUCUACCAUUUCAUCAGUAGUAAAAUUCAUUAUUGCUAAUUUAAAUUGAAUUAAUUACUGAAUUACUAAAUAAUAAUUGUUUCUAAUUUACGGUGUAUCCCAAUACUGAAUUAAUAAACAAUAAUGUCAAACUGUCAGUUUCUGACAAAUCACUCAUAGCCAACUCACAAUAAUUAUUGGUAAACGUUAAAAUAUCUACCAAAUUAAUAUUGUGAUGGAAAAAUAAAAAUAUCUAGAAAACUGAUAACUUUAGGUAUAGGGAGUACUUCAUAAAAUUUGAAGUACGAUAUUAGUACUUUUCGAUAGUGAUAUAAAAUACAGGGUGUUCUAUUUAAAAUUACCAAGAAAAUAAUGUACUUGCAUUUUGACUUACCCUGUAUUUGAUUUAACGAAUAUUAUAAAAACGAAUAUGUUUUAUAAUUUUUAACAAUUAUUAAAAAACUAUGGUUGCAAUAGAAUAAUGUUCCUAUACUCCUUUUUAAUUAUACAGGGAGUUAAACUUGAUACGAUUUUCAGGUAAUAUUGGUUAUAACUUUUUAAAUACCCGGUAUAACAUAAUAAAACUUUACAUUGUUGUGAUGUGAAAGUGAAGCAGAUUUCAAAUUUAAAAUAAAAUACAGGGUAUUCCAUUUAAAAAAACAUAAGUUUGGUCUGCCACCAUCUUAUGGAACACCCUGUAAGAUUGUAACUAAUUUUAAAAUGUGGAGUUUAAAGCUGCCUGCAAUUUUUGUCAAUAACUUUUUUUUGUAAUUUUUACUAUAACAGAUCUACUGAGCUUCCUCACACUAAUCAAUCACCCUGUAUAAAGAUCCUGUUAUGAUGAUUAUUAUACAGGGUGAUUGAUUAGUGGGGUAGCGGAUCAAUAGAUCCGUUAUAGUAAUAGCUAGCAAUAAAAGUUAAUAAUAAAAAUUUUAGCCACCUUUGAGCUUCAUAUUACAAAAUUAGCUAGAAUGUUACAAGGGUGUUCGAUAACACAGUGGCAGACCAAACUUAUGUUUUUUAAAUGAAACACCCUAUAUUUUAUUUUAAAUUCGAAAUCCUGUUAGCUUCUCCAUUACAAAAAUAUAUAGGUUUGUUAUGUUAUACAGGGUAUUUACAAAGUUAUAACCAAUUUUGUGUGAAAAUCGUAACAAGUUCAACUUCCUGUAUAAAUAAAAAUACGCACAACAGCAAUGGUUUAUUAAUGCCAUAUUUUUUUAUUUAUUGCCAACAUUUUCAAAAAUUAUUGACAUUGCUAAUUUUCUUUAUAUCAAAUACAGGGUGAGUCAAAACGCAAGUACAUCAUUUUAUCGGUAAUGUUAAAUGGAACACCCUGUAUUUUAUAUCAUCAUUGAAAAGUAACAUUACCGUACUUUAAUUUUUAUAUAACAUUCCCUGUGUCCAAAUUUAUUAGUUUUCGAGAUAUUUUAAUUUUUUAGUGCAAAUUAUUUUAGGUGUCUAAAUUUAUCUAAAUUUUAAGUAAGCCAUCACUGAAUUGACAAUUGACGAUUACUGGUUAUUAAUCCGGUAAUUAAUGUAACAAUGUAGCAAAUAAAGAAAUAAAAAUAAUUUAUUAGUAAUACAUUUUCCAAAAAAAAAACACAACCACAACAUGCAACAUUUUUGAAACAAUUAAAAACUACUUUUUUAUGUAAUUGUAACAAAUAAAGAAAGAAAAUUAGUAAUAAAUUUUACAAAAAAACACACAACCACAAAAUACAACAUUUUGUGAAGUCAAUUAAACACUACUUUUUAUGUAAAUGUAACAAUGUAACAAAUAAAGAACGAAAAAUAAUUUAUCAGUAAUACAUUUUGCAAAAAAAACAUGUUUAAAAAAAUUAGAAGCUACUUUUAAUAAACUAUUUUUAAUAUUUAAUUACAUAAGGUGUUCAAAAUUACCUCCUAACACAUUUAUGCACGCCUAAAAACGAUCAUUGAAUGAGCUACUUACUCUACGAAGCAUUUGUAAAUUAACGCAUCGAAAUACACUUUGCAUUCUAUUUUUCAUCUCAUCCCUUGUUGUUGGAGGAAUUUUAUAAACUUCAUCAUUAACGUAACCCCAAAAAAAUCAGUCCAGUUUAUUAAAUUCUGGUGAUUUGGGUGGCCACGCUAUUGGUCCAUUGAAAAAUGAAAAUAUCUCGAAAACUAAUAAAUUUAGACAUAGGGAAUGUUAUCUAAAAAUUAAAGUACGGUAAUAGUACUUUUUAAUUGUAAUAUAAAAUACAGGGUGUUCCAUUUAAAAUUACUGAGAGAAUAAUGUACUUGCGUUUUGACUCAACCUGUAUUUGAUAUAAAGAAAAUUAGCAAUAUCAAUGAUUCUUAAAAAUUUUGACAAUACGAAAAAUAAUAUGGCAUUAAUAAACCAUUGCUGUUUUGCUUAUUUUUAUUUAUACAGGGAGUUAAACUUGUUACGAUUUUCAUAUAAAACUGGUUAUAACUUUGUAAAUACCCUGUAUAACAUAACAAAUCUUUAUAUUUUUGUGAUGGAGAAGUUAACAGGAUUUCGAAUUUAAAAUAAAAUAUAGGGUGUUCCAUUUAAAAAAACAUAAGUUUAGUCUGCCACUGUGUUAUCGAACACCCUGUAACAUUCUAAUUAAUUCUAAAAUGUGAAGCUUAAAGUUGGCUACAAUUUUUGUUAUUAACUUUUAUUGCUAUCUAUUACUAUAGCGGAUCUAUUGAGCUUUACCCCAGUAAUCAAUUACCCUGUAUGUAACACUGGCACCACCCGUUAGCAAAUCUAUAAAAAACUGAACUAGUUUUUUCACGGACAGACAGGCGGAAGUUAUUUGUAAAUUAUUUUAUAGGAUUAGUGGUUAAAACAAAAUUAGACUGUAUGUACAAUAAAAUUUAAUGCAUUGAUGUAGGUAUAAUAAAUAUUUAAUUUUCAUGUGAUCACUAAUUUCACACAUUGUUUCAUUGUUCAAUGUUAUACAACGGUUAUAUUCUUAUAUUUUGUAUCAUUUUAUCAUCACUAGUUCUUUAUUUAUAAGGUUCUUAUUACCAAUAAAUAUUUAGUUUUUAUUAUGAAUCCAUCUAAAAAACCAUUCUAAAAACAAUAAUAUUCCAAGCUCAUACAAUCAUUAACUUAAAAAACCCAAAUUAAAUAAUUUACCAAGGUAGGUUUGAAGAGUAUUUAAAAUAUUUGAGUAUUAGGUUUUCAUUUUGUAUUUUCCUUUUAAAUAAUAUUUCGUAGCUUUACAAUAAGAAAUAAUACAUGUUACUAUAUUGUUGAUAUACAAUAUUUUACAAUGUAUAUGACUGUUUGAUGCCCCCAGGUAAUGUGAUAAACUAGAUAAAAAUGCAAACUAUACUUUAUUCAAUAAACAUAGUUUAAAUACCAAAGCCUAUUUUAUGUAUUAAUUCUGAUGUGAAAUAAAGUACAUCCAAUGUUUCA